GAGACCCGGCAGCAAGGGCUCGGCUCACUCGACUUUAUUCUAACUGUUACCAGAGGGGGACAGCUGCGGCGGGUCGCUAGAAAGGUCUCGGGUUAAAAGCAAUGAGAUUACAGGGAUCCAGCGCUGACAUCCUGUCCCAUCGAUCCGUCUGUCUUAAGAGGCAGGGCACUUUUUCUCACCUUGCACUUUAAUUGGUGAUCAUAUAUAUACACACACACACACACACACACACACACACACACACACACACACACAUGCGUCAAGGUGCUCUGCAGAGUUUAUAUAUGAAACCACAAUGUUAUCCACACAAUGUGAUCUGUUUAAGGAGGUGUUAAAGGCUCUACGGAGGGAGGCUUGCACAUUUAUUUUGAACAUAUUGAAUAUGGGGACACACACACAGACGUACAUUUAGAUGCCGCACAUAUCACAGACUUUGAACUGCUCACGUCCAUAGAGAAAUCAUCAUCAUCAAGAGUCUGCAUUUGUUCAUCAUAGUGUGUCCCACCUGAGAGGGUCUGCUUAUGACCCUUUCCACAGCUUGUUAAUGAGGCAGCCUGGUUUAUUUAUGUUUUUAUUUAUUCAUCGAUUUUGAAGGUGUUGCACUAAAUGUAGCAAAACAGACGGAAAUGAUCCCAAAUGCUAACAUGGAGUAAAGAUACAGGAAGAUUUUUAUUUUAUAUUUUUAGAUCUGUUUUAAAGAGGUUUGUUUUUUUAUUGGCAUUAAAUUCCUCAAUGGCCGAGGUAGAGGCAUCGGGUUAAGGGUUGUUCCUCUGACAAAAGUCAGCCUUUAAACUGUAAAACAAAACAAUCAUAAUAAAGUAAGACUACGAACAGACACUACUAAAUACUAAUGUCUGACUGUUAAUUAUUCUUCUGAUUCCCGUAUUUAAUUCAGCAUUGUUGCAAAGCGUUUGCCGUGCAGGAACACUUGGUGUGGGUUUUUGUGAGUGACAGCCAGUAGAUGAACCAGCUCUCUCGCCAUUUGUUGCUAUGGCAGCCAUGUGAUGAACUUACAUAGUUUACAGGUGCUGCUGGAAUGAAAUAAAGCUCUGAUGCUCCAGAAAACAAACAAACAAAACGUUAUUUUGGUGUGUUCUGUGUGUCUCAUGCAUCGCGAGCGGUGUUAUAUCUAGUGACUAAAAUGCAUCACAAGCACGCAAAACAACAACAAUGUAUUGCCACAUACAACCAGAUUAACAUAUUGACCUAGCAGGACGGAUGUUUGUUUUUCAUAUUCACAUCAUACACUUAAUAUCAAGACUUUAAAAUAAGCUGAACAUCUUUUUACAUUUGUCCAAAAAGUUUACAUGUUUUUCACUGCUGUUGCUAAAAUAUGA
ensembl:lncRNA